rnacentral:tmRNA from 1 species
GGGGCUGACUGGUUUUGACAGCAUGAGGGGUGGUAUAUAAGCAUGCAGCAUGGGGUGAAACGUUGCUUGAACAGGGUCACAAAACAACAAAUGGCGAAUCUAAUUUUGCUCUCGCCGCUUAAGCGAAUAAUAGUAACUUAAGCCUUCCCUUACGGGAUAUUUCGGCACCAGGUGCCGGAACGAGACGUCUCCCGGGCGGUCAUGCCCGGUACCAACCCGAUCAGGAGGCGCACGCAAUUCAGGGCUAGCCGGAGGAUUUUCCCGCUCCAAAGGUUAAAAAAAUAGGGAAUAAGGGGUCGUUAGGUUGCUCUGCGGCUGAUGGCCCACGAAAAUCAAGCAGGGAUAAGCAUGUAGAAAGUAUAUGGUCCCAAUGUUUGGACGCGGGUUCGACUCCCGCCAGCUCCACUU